rnacentral:rRNA from 1 species
UACGGAGGAUCCAAGCGUUAUCCGGAUUCAUUGGGUUUAAAGGGUGCGUAGGCGGAAUGAUAAGUCAGUGGUGAAAGCCUGCAGCUUAACUGCAGAACUGCCAUUGAUACUGUCAAUCUUGAGUACAUUUUGAUGUGGGCGGAAUGUGUCAUGUAGCGGUGAAAUGCUUUAGAUAUGACACAGAACACCGAUUGCGAAGGCAGCUCACAAAACUGUAACUGACGCUGAGGCACGAAAGCGUGGGUAGUUCAAAC